CCGAAGGGAAGAGGGCCAUCAGGACUGGGUAACCCAAAAAUCCCUGGCAUACUACUUUAUCAAGUGGUAUGUUAAAAUACUUUCUGUAGGUAACAUCAAAACCACUGGGGAUCAGGUUCUCUCCUGAUGAUGAGGAUGAUGACUGUGGUGAAGAUGAGGAACAACGGUGGCGGGUUCAACUCCACACACUGACACCAAAUAUGGCUGAACGGGAGUUGUAGCCUCGUGGCACAACACAGCAGGAUAGAUCUUGGGGACCUGUCUUCAAUCAGCACCUCUUGUCAACCUGUAAGGAGUUUGGUAUGUUCUUACUAUGUCUACAUGGGUUCCCAUUCAUCUCUCAAGACAUGCAGAAAGUGGAUUUGCUACUUUAAACCGCAGAUAGGUGUAAGUCAGCAUGAAUGAGUGUGAUGCCCUGUGAUGAAUCUUCAUUUGAUCCAUUUUAUUCCUGUCUUGUGCUCAGUGACACAGAUGGUGCUGGACUUGGUGGUGGUGCAACCCUGACCAGAAUAAAGCACUUAAACAAAUGGCUUGACUUUCU